UUAAGCGACUAAGCGUACACGGUGGAUGCCCUGGCAGUCAGAGGCGAUGAAGGACGUGCUAAUCUGCGAUAAGCGUCGGUGAGGUGAUAUGAACCGUUAUAACCGGCGAUUUCCGAAUGGGGAAACCCAGUGUGAUUCGACACACUAUCAUUAACUGAAUCCAUAGGUUAAUGAGGCGAACCGGGGGAACUGAAACAUCUAAGUACCCCGAGGAAAGGAAAUCAACCGAGAUUCCCCCAGUAGCGGCGAGCGAACGGGGAGGAGCCCAGAGCCUGAAUCAGUGUGUGUGUUAGUGGAAGCGUCUGGAAAGGCGCGCGAUACAGGGUGACAGCCCCGUACACAAAAAUGCACAUAUUGUGAGCUCGAUGAGUAGGGCGGGACACGUGGUAUCCUGUCUGAAUAUGGGGGGACCAUCCUCCAAGGCUAAAUACUCCUGACUGACCGAUAGUGAACCAGUACCGUGAGGGAAAGGCGAAAAGAACCCCGGCGAGGGGAGUGAAAAAGAACCUGAAACCGUGUACGUACAAGCAGUGGGAGCCUCUUAAUGGGGUGACUGCGUACCUUUUGUAUAAUGGGUCAGCGACUUAUAUUCUGUAGCAAGGUUAACCGAAUAGGGGAGCCGAAGGGAAACCGAGUCUUAACUGGGCGUUAAGUUGCAGGGUAUAGACCCGAAACCCGGUGAUCUAGCCAUGGGCAGGUUGAAGGUUGGGUAACACUAACUGGAGGACCGAACCGACUAAUGUUGAAAAAUUAGCGGAUGACUUGUGGCUGGGGGUGAAAGGCCAAUCAAACCGGGAGAUAGCUGGUUCUCCCCGAAAGCUAUUUAGGUAGCGCCUCGUGAAUUCAUCUCCGGGGGUAGAGCACUGUUUCGGCAAGGGGGUCAUCCCGACUUACCAACCCGAUGCAAACUGCGAAUACCGGAGAAUGUUAUCACGGGAGACACACGGCGGGUGCUAACGUCCGUCGUGAAGAGGGAAACAACCCAGACCGCCAGCUAAGGUCCCAAAGUCAUGGUUAAGUGGGAAACGAUGUGGGAAGGCCCAGACAGCCAGGAUGUUGGCUUAGAAGCAGCCAUCAUUUAAAGAAAGCGUAAUAGCUCACUGGUCGAGUCGGCCUGCGCGGAAGAUGUAACGGGGCUAAACCAUGCACCGAAGCUGCGGCAGCGACACUAUGUGUUGUUGGGUAGGGGAGCGUUCUGUAAGCCUGUGAAGGUGGCCUGUGAGGGUUGCUGGAGGUAUCAGAAGUGCGAAUGCUGACAUAAGUAACGAUAAAGCGGGUGAAAAGCCCGCUCGCCGGAAGACCAAGGGUUCCUGUCCAACGUUAAUCGGGGCAGGGUGAGUCGACCCCUAAGGCGAGGCCGAAAGGCGUAGUCGAUGGGAAACAGGUUAAUAUUCCUGUACUUGGUGUUACUGCGAAGGGGGGACGGAGAAGGCUAUGUUGGCCGGGCGACGGUUGUCCCGGUUUAAGCGUGUAGGCUGGUUUUCCAGGCAAAUCCGGAAAAUCAAGGCUGAGGCGUGAUGACGAGGCACUACGGUGCUGAAGCGACAAAUGCCCUGCUUCCAGGAAAAGCCUCUAAGCAUCAGGUAACAUCAAAUCGUACCCCAAACCGACACAGGUGGUCAGGUAGAGAAUACCAAGGCGCUUGAGAGAACUCGGGUGAAGGAACUAGGCAAAAUGGUGCCGUAACUUCGGGAGAAGGCACGCUGAUAUGUAGGUGAAGCGACUUGCUCGUGGAGCUGAAAUCAGUCGAAGAUACCAGCUGGCUGCAACUGUUUAUUAAAAACACAGCACUGUGCAAACACGAAAGUGGACGUAUACGGUGUGACGCCUGCCCGGUGCCGGAAGGUUAAUUGAUGGGGUUAGCGGUAACGCGAAGCUCUUGAUCGAAGCCCCGGUAAACGGCGGCCGUAACUAUAACGGUCCUAAGGUAGCGAAAUUCCUUGUCGGGUAAGUUCCGACCUGCACGAAUGGCGUAAUGAUGGCCAGGCUGUCUCCACCCGAGACUCAGUGAAAUUGAACUCGCUGUGAAGAUGCAGUGUACCCGCGGCAAGACGGAAAGACCCCGUGAACCUUUACUAUAGCUUGACACUGAACAUUGAGCCUUGAUGUGUAGGAUAGGUGGGAGGCUUUGAAGUGUGGACGCCAGUCUGCAUGGAGCCGGCCUUGAAAUACCACCCUUUAAUGUUUGAUGUUCUAACGUGGGCCCCUUACCGGGGUUGCGGACAGUGUCUGGUGGGUAGUUUGACUGGGGCGGUCUCCUCCUAAAGAGUAACGGAGGAGCACGAAGGUUGGCUAAUCCUGGUCGGACAUCAGGAGGUUAGUGCAAUGGCAUAAGCCAGCUUGACUGCGAGCGUGACGGCGCGAGCAGGUGCGAAAGCAGGUCAUAGUGAUCCGGUGGUUCUGAAUGGAAGGGCCAUCGCUCAACGGAUAAAAGGUACUCCGGGGAUAACAGGCUGAUACCGCCCAAGAGUUCAUAUCGACGGCGGUGUUUGGCACCUCGAUGUCGGCUCAUCACAUCCUGGGGCUGAAGUAGGUCCCAAGGGUAUGGCUGUUCGCCAUUUAAAGUGGUACGCGAGCUGGGUUUAGAACGUCGUGAGACAGUUCGGUCCCUAUCUGCCGUGGGCGCUGGAGAACUGAGGGGGGCUGCUCCUAGUACGAGAGGACCGGAGUGGACGCAUCACUGGUGUUCGGGUUGUCAUGCCAAUGGCACUGCCCGGUAGCUAAAUGCGGAAGAGAUAAGUGCUGAAAGCAUCUAAGCACGAAACUUGCCCCGAGAUGAGUUCUCCCUGACCCUUUAAGGGUCCUGAAGGAACGUUGAAGACGACGACGUUGAUAGGCCGGGUGUGUAAGCGCAGCGAUGCGUUGAGCUAACCGGUACUAAUGAACCGUGAGGCUUAACCUU
rnacentral:rRNA from 1 species